GAGAGCAUAUCUCGGUGGUAGAGUGUGUGCUUAGCAUGCAUGAGGUCCUGGGUUCAAUCCCCAGUACCUCCA
rnacentral:tRNA from 1 species